AGAGUUUGAUCCUGGCUCAGGACGAACGCUGGCGGCGUGCCUAAUACAUGCAAGUAGAACGCUGAGGACUGGUGCUUGCACCGGUCCAAGGAGUUGCGAACGGGUGAGUAACGCGUAGGUAACCUACCUCAUAGCGGGGGAUAACUAUUGGAAACGAUAGCUAAUACCGCAUGACAAUGGAAGACCCAUGUCUUUCAUUUAAAAGGUGCAAUUGCAUCACUAUGAGAUGGACCUGCGUUGUAUUAGCUAGUUGGUGAGGUAACGGCUCACCAAGGCGACGAUACAUAGCCGACCUGAGAGGGUGAUCGGCCACACUGGGACUGAGACACGGCCCAGACUCCUACGGGAGGCAGCAGUAGGGAAUCUUCGGCAAUGGACGGAAGUCUGACCGAGCAACGCCGCGUGAGUGAAGAAGGUUUUCGGAUCGUAAAGCUCUGUUGUUAGAGAAGAAUGAUGGUGGGAGUGGAAAAUCCACCAUGUGACGGUAACUAACCAGAAAGGGACGGCUAACUACGUGCCAGCAGCCGCGGUAAU
rnacentral:rRNA from 1 species